CCUACGGGUGGCAGCAGUGGGGGAUAUUGCACAAUGGGGGAAACCCUGAUGCAGCGACGCCGCGUGCGUGAAGAAGUAUUUCGGUAUGUAAAGCUCUAUCAGCAGGGAAGAAAAUGACAGUACCUGACCAAGAAGCCACGGCUAACUACGUGCCAGCAGCCGGGGUAAAACGUAGGGUGCAAGCGUUAUCCGGAUAUACUGGGUGUAAAGGGAGCGUGGACGGUUAUGUAAGUAUGGAGUGAAAGCCCGGGGCCCAACCCCGGGACUGCUUUGGAACCUGGGUAACUGGAGUACAGGAGGGGCAGGCGGAAGUCCGGGUGUAGCGGUGAAAUGCGUAGAUAUCAGGAGGAACACCGGAGGCGAAGGCGGCCUGCUGGACUGAAACUGACGUUGAGGCUCGAAAGCGUGGGGAGCAAACAGGAUUAGAUACCCGGGUAGUC
rnacentral:rRNA from 1 species